CUGCCAGCAGCCAGAGAGGCAGGAGCUCUCUCAGCCAUGAUGCAAGAAGCAGCAAGAACCGCAGCUACAUGAAGCUGCCAGAGGCCCCACGAGUGUGAACAUGCCUGUGAUGGCCCUUACCAGCCAGUAGAAGUCCCUCUGUGUGAACAAAACCCUAAGGCCACACAUUAAUGUACAAGUGAGGGACCAAAUCCUCCUACCUUCAGUUGCAACCAUCACCCCUCAAGAAGGCCUGGCCCUGCAUAGGCAUGUGUGACAGCUGGCAAUAAAUCCAGAAGGUCUGAUGUCCAAGUUCCCUGUUUGGACUGCUCCAUCACUUCUUUCUUUAGGGCCUGAUCCAUAGCUCAUUGAAAUGAAUAGAAAGACUCUCAUUUCAGUGGAUGUAGGACUAGGCACUCAGUUGCUGAAAAGUCUUGGAGUCUUUCCAAAAGGUAUGAGUUAUUCGUGUGAGGAAAGCUUCUUGUUCUGCCGCCCAUACCAUACCUAAGAUAUCUAGAGAAAAAGGACUGCAGUGUCUGGAACUGUUAUCCUGUCACAGUUCACUGACCGCCCCACUGCUUUUCCCCACCCCCCCCGCACCCACCCCUUCUGCAGUAGGAGUGAGACCCCUGAACGUGCCAGCCUGCAAUGAAUCUGGCUGCAGCCCUUCUUCCAUCUCCUCCAAGCUCUUCACAGACGUGCUGUCCUCCUGUCCCACCAUGAGCUAGGCCCAUGGCUUCCAGUUCAGUCUCCUCCUGCUACUGGCCCAGGUGGUUGUUCAUCAGUCCUGGAGGAAGAAUCUGGAUAGGAGUAUGUGAGGGCUGAGAAGGGGGGCAGUUUCCAUUAAACUCUUUUCCAUUUCUUU